UACGGGGGAUGCAAGCGUUAUCCGGAAUUAUUGGGCGUAAAGCGCCUGUAGGUUGUCUGGUAAGUCUGCUGUUAAAGACCAAGGCUUAACCUUGGAAAAGCAAUGGAUACUGCUAGACUAGAGUAUGGUAGGGGUAGAGGGAAUUUCUAGUGUAGCGGUGAAAUGCGUAGAUAUUAGAAAGAACACCGGUGGCGAAAGCGCUCUACUGGGCCAUUACUGACACUCAGAGGCGAAAGCUAGGGGAGCAAAAGGG
rnacentral:rRNA from 1 species